UACGUAGGGUGCGAGCGUUAAUCGGAAUUACUGGGCGUAAAGCGUGCGCAGGCGGUGAUGUAAGACAGUUGUGAAAUCCCCGGGCUCAACCUGGGAACUGCAUCUGUGACUGCAUUGCUGGAGUGCGGCAGAGGGGGAUGGAAUUCCGCGUGUAGCAGUGAAAUGCGUAGAUAUGCGGAGGAACACCGAUGGCGAAGGCAAUCCCCUGGGCCUGCACUGACGCUCAUGCACGAAAGCGUGGGGAGCAAGCAGG
rnacentral:rRNA from 1 species